AAUGAACGCUAGCGGGAUGCUUUACACAUGCAAGUCGAACGAGUGGCGGACGGGUGAGCAGUAUAUCGGAACGUGCGCAGUAGCGGGGGAUAACUACGCGAAAGAGUGGCUAAAACUGCAUACUAUUGGAGCGGCCGUUAUGGGAUUAGCGAGUUGGUGGGGUAAAGGUUCACGAAGGCCACGAUCCGUAGCUGGUUUGAGAGGACGACCGGCCACACUGGGACUGAGACACGGCCCAGACUCCUACGGGAGGCAGCAGUGGGGAAUCUUGGACAAUGGGGGAAACCCUGACCCAGCAAUCCCGCGUGUAUGAGAAGGUUUGCGGGUUGUAAAGUACUUUUGGUAGAGAAGCGGUAUCUAAACAGUAAGCAACGGCUAACUACGUGCCAGCCGCCGCGGUAAUAC
rnacentral:rRNA from 1 species